CACGGUUGCAAUAACCACACAUUGGGUUCUCCUCACCUGACUCUGGUUAUCUCCUUCCCAGAUUAUCAUCAGAUCUGCUUCAGAUUAGGGUUUCAGGAUCCCUAUGUUUCCAUCAAUUUCUUCCGAAUUCCCCAUUCCACUUUCAAUUCUCACCGCCAAAUCUUCUCCAACUCGUAAUAUUUCCUCUUUGCAAAUUCGUUUUCUUCGAAUCUGAGAAAAAUGGAGACACAGAGGAUCACAGAAUUUCCACACAAGAACAUGGACAAACGCCCGAGGAAACGUCCUCGCUUGACCUGGGACAUGCCUCCUCCCCUUCCCCCUCCCAAGGUUGUUUCUUUGCCUUUGCUUGUGAAUCUUCAUGUUGUGCAGGUUGUUCCGGGGAUGUAUUGCAGUCAGGAGUUUGUGUCUAACUACCCCUACUCGUCUCUUUUCUACAAGGGAGUCACUCGCAAUGGAUCACCGCCUUGGAGGCCUGAUGAUAAGGACGGCCAUUAUAUUUUUGCCAUUGGAGAAAAUUUAACUCCGAGAUACAGGAUUAUCAGCAAGAUGGGUGAAGGGACAUUUGGGCAAGUGCUGGAAUGCUUUGACAAUGACAAGAAAGAAGUUGUGGCAAUUAAAAUUGUUCGUUCAAUACAUAAGUACCGUGAAGCUGCAAUGAUUGAAAUUGAUGUGCUACAGAAGCUUGCCAGGCAUGAUGUUGGAGGCACUCGUUGUGUGCAAAUACGGAAUUGGUUUGACUAUCGUAAUCAUAUUUGUAUUGUCUUUGAGAAGCUUGGACCAAGCUUAUACGAUUUUCUCCGCAAAAACAGCUACCGUUCUUUUCCUAUUGAUCUUGUUCGGGAGCUUGGCAGACAACUUUUGGAGUCUGUAGCAUUUAUGCAUGAUUUACGCCUUAUCCACACUGAUCUGAAGCCAGAAAAUAUUCUUCUUGUUUCUUCAGAUUACAUCAAAGUGCCAGAUUAUAAGUUUCUAUCACGGACUAUUAAAGAUGGUUCCUAUUUCAAGAAUCUGCCUAAGUCAAGCGCCAUUAAGCUCAUUGAUUUUGGGAGUACAACAUUUGAACACCAGGAUCACAACUAUGUGGUGUCAACAAGACAUUACCGUGCACCAGAGGUUAUUUUGGGCCUUGGAUGGAACUACCCUUGUGAUCUAUGGAGUGUAGGAUGCAUACUUAUUGAACUUUGCUCAGGGGAGGCCCUUUUCCAAACACAUGAGAACUUGGAACAUCUUGCAAUGAUGGAGAGGGUGUUGGGACCUCUGCCCCAACAUAUGGUGCUGAGAGCUGACCGCCGUGCUGAGAAAUAUUUCAGGAGAGGUGCACGAUUAGAUUGGCCCGAGGGCGCAACCUCUAGAGAAAGCAUGAGAGCAGUUUGGAAAUUGCCCCGUCUUCAGAACCUUGUAAUGCAGCAUGUGGAUCACUCUGCUGGUGAUCUGAUUGAUCUCUUGCAAGGGCUGCUAAGAUAUGACCCAGCGGAGCGGCUUAAAGCAAGGGAAGCUCUCAGACAUCCUUUUUUCACAAGGGAUGCGAGAAGAUGUGGCUACCCCUUGUAAUUGAAAGCCAUCGACCACAAUUAGCAUAAAGCCACUGCAUAAAGAGAUUGAUUCAUGUGUUCUCCCAGUCUGAUCCCACCUCUUUCCUCUCUAUCAAAGGCUGGUCGCCCGUGGGUUACCCUGUAAGCCCUCUCUUUAUCCCUGGUCUCCAUGUCAAAGGAAGUUGGGUGUUUCAAGUCCAAAGGCGCGUAAUUACUCGUCGGAGCGGAUUUUUAGAGAAAGCCAAAGGCGAGACGGGACAAACUUGUACAGGUUAGUGACAAUCAAGAGAUAAUUUAAAUGUUUUUAUUAACGGUUUCUUCAUAACGAUUAACGGCUUAAUGUCAAUUCUUAAAAGGAACAUUAAGUUAAUUAAAUAACAAAUUCUUCCGGUACUUCUUUCAUAGAUAGACGGAUAUUUUUAUUUUUCCAACAUUCCAACAAGUUUUACUGAAAUGUCGUGGGUUCUCGAAGUCUGUAAAAUUGUUUAAGAUAUCACCAAAGACUUUGAAUAAAAAAAAUUGUGUAAAUUUGUUUGAAAAAUCAUCAUGAAUUCUUCCUUUUUCUUUUUAAUAUAUAAAUUAUAAUGUUUUUUUAGAAAUUAGAAUGGAAAGAGAUUCCGAUGGAAGAAGGAUAAGGUUCUGAUUUAGCUCAAAAAUAUUUUUAAGUCGUUCCUUAUAACUCUUUAACUUUUUCUCUCUUUUGUUAAAGAUCUUUUAUGAUUUGAAUUCAGCACUUAGGUUUUUGGAAAAGAAAAUCGGUUGAGGUUUUGUUUAUUACAUGGAAAAAGCUCAAAUAUGAUUAUUUCUACAGAAAAUUACAUAGGGAAAAGCCCUCAUGUGCUUGAUUUUUGGAGAAUAAGUUGAUUUUGUGUAAAUAUAUUUUCACAUUGGCGGGAACAACCAAGAGGGCUUGAUUUUUGCACUUUAGUAUGCCACAUGUAACCCUUUAGUUAUUUAGUUAAUUAGCAUUUGAUCUGAGUAGAGUUAGUGCAAAAUGCCAAAUGUCCAAUCAUUUUGAUGUUAUUUUCUGUCAUAUUACUAUUUUUAUAUCUUGAUUAUUUUCCAUGAAAAGUGAAAAAAAGAAAA